rnacentral:sRNA from 1 species
CUGCAUCUUCUCUCUCUCUGUUCCUCAAAGAUUCACGGGUUCCUCUUUUCUCGUGAUAGAGAAGCCGAACAUUUUGUUCUUCGAAGCUCAAAGCAGUGCUGAAAUCUGAGUGAAGCAAGAAACAUGUUGAAAACAGCACCAAAAAACUCCAAAAAGGACGACCACAUUAUCCUCAAAGUCAAAGAAAGAUUUUCCCUAAAAGGAAUGCAAAUCAAGAUCGCUCCUUUUCUCUUGCCCAUAAGUUAGAAAACCCG